ensembl:lincRNA
ACAAUAAAUAAUGCAGUAUAAUCUUUCAUCUUUUUUUUUUUUAGGAUGCCACCGCUGCCUAGGUAUUGACAUUUUGCUUAUGUUUUAAUGCAUCACUCACAUCGCUCUGUUUUUUUCUUGUUUGUUUUCUUAGACUGCUGUCCACAUCUUAGUAUGCCUGUAGAGACAGAUGAAUCUAUGACAUCAUCAUCUCUCAAUCUGGCUUGGCCUGCAUGCCAGCAGUGUGAAUCACAGAACCUUACGGAGGCUGGCAGAAGUGGAGUGCCUCGUCCAGAGAUGUGUGUUCAUGAUGCAAGUAGAGUGCAUUACCUAGAUCGUGGCUAUGGGCUUCAACCUGAAGAUUUAAGGGUCAGUACGUUCAGAAAACAGUCCAUAAGUGAUUCACAUCCACCAGAAAGUCCUGCAGGCCUGCCCAGUUUCUACUUGCCUCAAAGUCCAAGACAGCACCUUCAGAUAGACCGUAGAUCCCAUAUAGAAGACCUGAGUGAACAUUUUUCAAGAGUCAACCUUCACCGUCACUGCAAUUCCACUGUGUUGUAUUCACACACCCAAAAGUCUGUGACUGAGGAUGAGGAAAGUAUUGAAAAGCCGCGUCCUCUCCGUACUGACCAGGGGGACGAUUUCUGCAGGUUUCCUUCAUCAAAAAAGGCCGGAUUUUACGGUGAGUGCCCACCAGAACGGGUUUUAUAUCACUGGCAUGGACAAUCUGCACAUUACCCACAGCCCAACUAUCCGCUGCAUCAGCCCCUACCUGGGUAUUAUGUUCAGAAUAGGCACAUAUCUAGAGAACCAGCCAUUGCGAACCCCCCUCAAGGUACAUCCGGUCAGAGCACAGCACCUAUGAGAGAGCUCAUGUCAGAAGUUUGUGUCCAGCCAUCCCAAGCAUCUGCUGUUGGCCACCCUCAAACACUAAGGCGUAACAUCAGUCUUCCUGACAUCUGCAGAGACCUAUUCAUUACAUACUCUAUGGACAUUGCAACAGAGCUGAUGCCCUUCGUGAGCUUUUUGAUCAAUCAAGGAUUCAGACCAGCUAUCGAUAUAUUUGAAGACCGAGUUAGACAAAUGGACAUCAACAAAUGGAUGGACAGUUUCUUAAAAAAUGUAUUUAUUUAUGUAUUCAUUCAUUCAUUUUCUUUUCAGCUUAACCCCUUUAUUUAUUACACGUCGCCACAGAGGAGUAAACUACUUACUAUUCUGGCAUAUGAAUCAAUUAAUUGAUUAACAAAUUAAUUAAUUAACUGAAUGAUUGAGUUAAGGUUGAACUUAGGAUCUAGGACAGGGGUGUCAAACUCAAUUCCUGGAGGGCCGAAGCCCUGCACAGUUUAGUUCCAACCCUGCUCCAACACACUUAAGGCUGAUUUAUACUUCUGCGUCAAACACCGGCGUAUGCUACGGCGCUGACGCAUAGCCCUUCGCCGUGGCCAUCGCCGUCGCUGACCUGCACCUCUCAAAAAAUACAUACAUACAUACAUACAUACAUACAUACAUACAUACAUAUAUAUAUAUUAAGGGUGUCACGAUCCUCCAAAUCCUCGAUUCGAUUACAUUUUCGAUUCUAAAGGCUCGAUUCGAUUUUAAUUUCGAUUAUGAAUAAUUAAUUAAUUAAUGACCAAUUAAUUAUUUGUAGCCUACCGUUUAAACUACCUGACCUGCAUGGUCUUUGUUUUACCCAUAAACGAAUCAUACAGUAAAUGAAUAAAGGCAAGAUACACACAUAAUUACCACCUGUCAAUCACUUUUUCUGCGGGACUCGUGAAUAGGCAGUGAUCUGUGUCGUUAUAAUGGCGUCGGUAAAAAAGACGCACAACCAACAGGAACCAGCCAACAGUAUCUGAGGUGUUCGCUAAAAUGACUAAGUACAAGUGAGUGAAAGAUUGAAGCAGUCCUCUGACUGCCUGGACCUGCUGUCUCGAGCGCAUGGCUGUGUGUGCGUCUGUGUCUGUGUGGUCACGUGAUGUGCAUUUUCAGAGGUAGAGAGGAAGGAGGGCUGCUCAGAAAUGCUACACGCCACUGUGGAUGUCAAAUCGCUGUCGUUCUAAAAUGCCGUUUAAAAACAAAGACAGUGUAAACAGGGCCUGAGUGUGAACUUUUCGCGAGCGGAUUUGCAACGGGGGCGGGCGGAGGAUCGCGAUGCUGGUGUUGUCUAUCGGACGAACCGUACGUAAUACGUACAUAGCAGAGCUUGCAAAACUGUGUUUUUUUGUCGACAACACGAACGUUGUCAACAUAACUCACUGGAAAUCCAAAAUGCUUCCACACCGGCGACUUCAUUGAAAGAGGAGAGGGUUUAAGCUCUGUCGACGGGUCUCCUGCAUCUGCAGUUUAACAAGCACUUCAACAAGCCUGUUUUUUUCCCGCUUGGAAAGCCAAGCUGAUGUGACAUGGGGGCGUGGCAGCAUCGACGAUUCUAUUUUUUUAUUCGAUAAUCGAAAUUGAGCAUAAAUUUCGAUCGAUUUCGAUUAAAAAUCGAAAUCAUGACAGCCC